GCUCUGUCUCCCCCAGAGAAACUUGAGAAUGUGCCACAGGCCUCAGCACUGUAUCCUGAGGGGUGAAGGGGAUGGGCGCUUAUCCACCCCACCCCUUCCCAAAAUCCUGAGUGGAGCUGACUAGGGAGAAGCUCUCUGAGAUGUGUUGUGGGACUUUCUACAAGGCAGGUAGGUGGCCUCUGUAGCAUGAACAAUAAAACCCCAAAAAAGGAUUUUGGGGUUUAAGCUGAACAUCAGAAAAGCAAAGCAGCCAGCCACUAAAGAGACCUAUUACUUCUGCCAAAUCUGCAGACCAAAAGGGUGAGAUCCUGUCUCCACAAACACUCAGGCUCCACAUUCUGGCUCUGACAGAAAUGGCCCAGUGGCGCCCCCUGCUGCUCACCUCAGAAAUCCCUCGCAAACACGAAUGCUUCCCACCAGCUCGGCUGGAUCUGAAAGAGGAACAGACCCUAAGGAGUGGAAAGAUCUUCAACAGAUACCUUUAUCUUCAUGGACAAUGGAACAGUUUUCACAGAAAUGGACCUGUCCUCCCCACUGAUGUGACUGCUAACAGCCCCGGCGGAGGAAGGGCAUGCUUCUCUGCACUUCCGAGGCAGUAGGCGGGGAAUACCGGCUCAGCCUACAACUGAGGUGUCCAUCGUUACUGACGUGACACGGGGACGAGUGUGCACCAGGUUCCAGCAGGACUCUGACGUGAGGCAUUUGGCUGAAGUCUGGGGAAGAGGCUGAGAAUCCUGCCAGUUCUCCCUGGACACACCAGGCACAGAAUAGUGUCGAACACAUGGUUCUCUGCAGUCAGUCUGAGAGCUUAAAACAUAAACCUAUUCAGGGCUGGCUAGAUGGCUGACAGGGAGAGGUGUCACUGCCGCCACUCGGGGUUGAUCCCUGGGACCCACAUUAAAGGAGAGAAUUUCCCCCACAAACUGUUUACUGACCUCCAAACACCCAUGGCGACACGCUCACACCCAGCAGACACCCACUACCAUACACAAGAUAAAAUUAGAUAUCAUUCAGUUCAGUUCAACAGAAUCCAUCGUCGGAAAGGUAAGACCGUGCCUCAUUCAUCCACAAGGUUUCUGUUACAGAUGUUAGAGAAGGGCCUAUUACCUUUCUUGGCUAUUUAGUCCAGGUUAAUUUUUGUCAACUCAACAUGAGCUAAAGUACCCUGGGAAGGUGGAGCCUCCAUCCGAUUGCCCUGUGAGCAUGUCUGUGGGGGCAUCUUCUUGCUUGCUAACUGCUGCAGGAGGGCCCACCACGUUGUGGGUGGUGCAACCCCUAAGCGGGUGGCCCUGGGCUGUAGACAGAAAGUAGCUGAGGAAGCCAAGGAGCCAAGCCAGUAAGCAGCUUCUUUCUGUGGUUCCUGCUUGAGUUCCUACCGAGGCAGUUCCAGGACAGCCAGGACUACAUAGAGAGUGACUCGGCUGAGCUACUACUAUGCAUGCCCAAAGUACUCUGACUCCUCUCAUAAAGACAUUAUAUGCCCACGUUCAUUGCUGUUCAACUGAUAAGAGCAAGUUAGCCUAGACGCCCAUCAUUUGUGGAGUACACACACACACACACACACACACACCUGACUUUAAAAAACAAACAAAAUGAAUCCUAAUGUUGAACUUAAUGUGUGAAACGAUUUCAGCCUGGUCCAUUCAAAUGCUAAUUAAUUCUAGAACCUGAGUCCUUAGGUUACUUUGACAGACACUUUCCUAGGGAAUAUAUUCUUAAUAUACAACUGAAGAAACUGAGACUUUUAGUAAGACUGUGACACAUAUAUAGUGAUGGAUAUAUAUGUUUGUCACAACGGAAAUGGCAGGUAAGCCCAAUCACUGUGAACAAUAAAACUCAAGGUCUGGGCACGUUUACUGUGUAUGUAUAGAAAAAGAACUAUGUCAUUAAGUCUCACUGAAAGAGAGAGAUAAUUAAUGCUUUACAUUUAUUAAUUUUGUAUUUAUGUGUUAAUUUACAUGUGUGUUUAUACGUGUGUAUAAAGAUCAGAAGACAACCUCAGAUGUCAUUCUUCAGGCACUGUCUGGUUUUUUGGAUAGGCUGGCUGGCCAGUGAGCUAGGGAUCCAUCUGUCUCUACUUCCCCAGGGCUAGGAAUAUAAACCACAUCUGGCCUUUUACAUGAGUUCUGGGAUCACAUCCAUGUCCUCAGGCUUGCAUGGCUGAGCUAUCUCUCCAGUUCACACCUCUCUUUUAGAAGGUAAUUGCAUUGUUAAAGUGUUCUUCAUUAAAUGUUCAGAGACGUUAA